rnacentral:rRNA from 1 species
AUUGAACGCUGGCGGCAUGCCUUACACAUGCAAGUCGAACGGUAACGCGGGGCAACCUGGCGACGAGUGGCGAACGGGUGAGUAACGCAUCGGAACGUGCCCUGAAGUGGGGGAUAGCCCGGCGAAAGCCGGAUUAAUACCGCAUGAGACCUGAGGGUGAAAGCGGGGGAUCGCAAGACCUCGCGCUUUGGGAGCGGCCGAUGUCAGAUUAGGUAGUUGGUGGGGUAAAGGCCUACCAAGCCGACGAUCUGUAGCUGGUCUGAGAGGACGACCAGCCACACUGGGACUGAGACACGGCCCAGACUCCUACGGGAGGCAGCAGUGGGGAAUUUUGGACAAUGGGGGAAACCCUGAUCCAGCCAUGCCGCGUGCGGGAAGAAGGCCUUCGGGUUGUAAAGCACUUUAGUUGGGGAGGAAGGUUGGUAUUUUAAGAGAUAGCUAACUUGACUGUACCCAAAGAAUAAGGGGUUGCUAACUCUGUGCCAGCAGCCGCCGUAAUAC